UACGGAGGGUGCAAACGUUGUUCGGAAUUACUGGGCGUAAAGCGCGUGUAGGCGGCUUGGCAAGUCAGAUGUGAAAGCCCUUGGCUCAACCGAGGAAGUGCAUUUGAAACUGCCAGGAUAGAAUACGGGAGAGGGUUGUAGAAUUCCUGGUGUAGAGGUGAAAUUCGUAGAUAUCAGGAGGAAUACCGGUGGCGAAGGCGGCAACCUGGACCGAUAUUGACGCUGAGACGCGAAAGCGUGGGGAGCAAACAGG
rnacentral:rRNA from 1 species